rnacentral:rRNA from 1 species
AUAACACCUGGAAACAGAUGCUAAUACCGGAUAACAACAGAUGAUGCCUAUCAACUGUUUAAAAGAUGGGUUCUGCUAUCACUCUUGGAUGGACCUGCGGUGCAUUAGCUAGUUGGUAGGGUAACGGCCUACCAAGGCGAUGAUGCAUAGCCGAGUUGAGAGACUGAUCGGCCACAUUGGGACUGAGACACGGCCCAAACUCCUACGGGAGGCAGCAGCCC